rnacentral:rRNA from 1 species
UACGUAGGGUGCAAGCGUUAAUCGGAAUUACUGGGGCGUAAAGCGUGCGCAGGCGGUUCUCCAAGUCCGUUGUGAAAGCCCCGGGCUCAACCUGGGAAUGGCAGUGGAAACUAGGGGACUGGAAUCUGGGCAGAGGGGGGUGGAAUGCCGCGUGUAGCAGUGAAAUGCGUAGAGAUGCGGCGGAACACCGAUGGCGAAGGCAGCCCCCUGGGCUGAGAUUGACGCUCAGGCACGAAAGCGUGGGGGAGCAAACAGG